GGUUAAGCGACUAAGCGUACACGGUGGAUGCCCUGGCAGUCAGAGGCGAUGAAGGACGUGCUAAUCUGCGAAAAGCGUCGGUAAGGUGAUAUGAACCGUUACAGCCGGCGAUGUCCGAAUGGGGAAACCCAGUGCAAUUCGUUGCACUAUCGUUAACUGAAUACAUAGGUUAACGAGGCGAACCGGGGGAACUGAAACAUCUAAGUACCCCGAGGAAAAGAAAUCAACCGAGAUUCCCCCAGUAGCGGCGAGCGAACGGGGAGCAGCCCAGAGUCUGAAUCAGCUUGUGUGUUAGUGGAACGGUCUGGAAAGUCCGACGGUACAGGGUGAUAGUCCCGUACACCAAAAUGCACAGGUUGUGAACUCGAAGAGUAGGGCGGGACACGUGGUAUCCUGUCUGAAUAUGGGGGGACCAUCCUCCAAGGCUAAAUACUCCUGACUGACCGAUAGUGAACCAGUACCGUGAGGGAAAGGCGAAAAGAACCCCGGCGAGGGGAGUGAAAAAGAACCUGAAACCGUGUACGUACAAGCAGUGGGAGCACCUUCGGGUGUGACUGCGUACCUUUUGUAUAAUGGGUCAGCGACUUAUAUUCUGUAGCAAGGUUAACCGUAUAGGGGAGCCGCAGGGAAACCGAGUCUUAACUGGGCGUUAAGUUGCAGGGUAUAGACCCGAAACCCGGUGAUCUAGCCAUGGGCAGGUUGAAGGUUGGGUAACACUAACUGGAGGACCGAACCGACUAAUGUUGAAAAAUUAGCGGAUGACUUGUGGCUGGGGGUGAAAGGCCAAUCAAACCGGGAGAUAGCUGGUUCUCCCCGAAAGCUAUUUAGGUAGCGCCUCGUGAACUCAUCUUCGGGGGUAGAGCACUGUUUCGGCUAGGGGGUCAUCCCGACUUACCAACCCGAUGCAAACUACGAAUACCGAAGAAUGUUAUCACGGGAGACACACGGCGGGUGCUAACGUCCGUCGUGAAGAGGGAAACAACCCAGACCGCCAGCUAAGGUCCCAAAGUCAUGGUUAAGUGGGAAACGAUGUGGGAAGGCACAGACAGCCAGGAUGUUGGCUUAGAAGCAGCCAUCAUUUAAAGAAAGCGUAAUAGCUCACUGGUCGAGUCGGCCUGCGCGGAAGAUGUAACGGGGCUAAACCAUGCACCGAAGCUGCGGCAGCGACACUAUGUGUUGUUGGGUAGGGGAGCGUUCUGUAAGCCUGCGAAGGUGUGCUGUGAGGCAUGCUGGAGGUAUCAGAAGUGCGAAUGCUGACAUAAGUAACGAUAAAGCGGGUGAAAAGCCCGCUCGCCGGAAGACCAAGGGUUCCUGUCCAACGUUAAUCGGGGCAGGGUGAGUCGACCCCUAAGGCGAGGCCGAAAGGCGUAGUCGAUGGGAAACAGGUUAAUAUUCCUGUACUUGGUGUUACUGCGAAGGGGGGACGGAGAAGGCUAUGUUAGCCGGGCGACGGUUGUCCCGGUUUAAGCAUGUAGGCUGGUUGUCCAGGCAAAUCCGGAUAAUCAAGGCUGAGGUGUGAUGACGAGGCACUACGGUGCUGAAGUAACAAAUGCCCUGCUUCCAGGAAAAGCCUCUAAGCAUCAGGUAACAUUAAAUCGUACCCCAAACCGACACAGGUGGUCAGGUAGAGAAUACCAAGGCGCUUGAGAGAACUCGGGUGAAGGAACUAGGCAAAAUGGUGCCGUAACUUCGGGAGAAGGCACGCUGGUGUGUAGGUGAAGUCCCUGCGGAUGGAGCUGAGACCAGUCGAAGAUACCAGCUGGCUGCAACUGUUUAUUAAAAACACAGCACUGUGCAAACACGAAAGUGGACGUAUACGGUGUGACGCCUGCCCGGUGCCGGAAGGUUAAUUGAUGGGGUUAUCCGUAAGGAGAAGCUCUUGAUCGAAGCCCCGGUAAACGGCGGCCGUAACUAUAACGGUCCUAAGGUAGCGAAAUUCCUUGUCGGGUAAGUUCCGACCUGCACGAAUGGCGUAAUGAUGGCCAGGCUGUCUCCACCCGAGACUCAGUGAAAUUGAACUCGCUGUGAAGAUGCAGUGUACCCGCGGCAAGACGGAAAGACCCCGUGAACCUUUACUAUAGCUUGACACUGAACAUUGAGCCUUGAUGUGUAGGAUAGGUGGGAGGCUUUGAAGCGUGGACGCCAGUCUGCGUGGAGCCAACCUUGAAAUACCACCCUUUAAUGUUUGAUGUUCUAACGUUGGCCCCUUACCGGGGUUGCGGACAGUGUCUGGUGGGUAGUUUGACUGGGGCGGUCUCCUCCCAAAGCGUAACGGAGGAGCACGAAGGUUAGCUAAUCCUGGUCGGACAUCAGGAGGUUAGUGCAAUGGCAUAAGCUAGCUUGACUGCGAGCGUGACGGCGCGAGCAGGUGCGAAAGCAGGUCAUAGUGAUCCGGUGGUUCUGAAUGGAAGGGCCAUCGCUCAACGGAUAAAAGGUACUCCGGGGAUAACAGGCUGAUACCGCCCAAGAGUUCAUAUCGACGGCGGUGUUUGGCACCUCGAUGUCGGCUCAUCACAUCCUGGGGCUGAAGUAGGUCCCAAGGGUAUGGCUGUUCGCCAUUUAAAGUGGUACGCGAGCUGGGUUUAGAACGUCGUGAGACAGUUCGGUCCCUAUCUGCCGUGGGCGCUGGAGAAUUGAGGGGGGCUGCUCCUAGUACGAGAGGACCGGAGUGGACGCAUCACUGGUGUUCGGGUUGUCAUGCCAAUGGCACUGCCCGGUAGCUAAAUGCGGAAGAGAUAAGUGCUGAAAGCAUCUAAGCACGAAACUUGCCCCGAGAUGAGUUCUCCCUGAGACUUUAAGUCUCCUGAAGGAACGUUGAAGACGACGACGUUGAUAGGCCGGGUGUGUAAGCGCAGCGAUGCGUUGAGCUAACCGGUACUAAUGAACCGUGAGGCUUAACCUUACAACGCCGAAGAUGUUUUG
rnacentral:rRNA from 1 species